UUAGAGUAAGAUCCCUCAGAGACGAUGAGGUAGAUAGGUUCGAGGUAGAAGCAUGGUGACAUGUGAAGCUGACGAAUACUAAUCGAUCGAGGACUUAACUAAAA
rnacentral:rRNA from 1 species